GCGGGGGUGCCCGAGCCAGGUCAAAGGGGGCGGGUAGGAUAACAAUCCCCGCAAUGAGGUCCCGUUGGCGAAGGCCUGCGUGGGUUCAAAUCCCACCCCCCGCA
rnacentral:tRNA from 1 species